rnacentral:rRNA from 1 species
UACAGAGGUCUCAAGCGUUGUUCGGAUUCAUUGGGCGUAAAGAGCUCGUAGGCGGCUUGGCAAGUCGGGUGUGAAAACUUCAGGCUCAACCUGGAGCGGCCACUCGAUACUGCCAUGGCUAGAGUCCGGUAGGGGACCACGGAAUUCCUGGUGUAGCGGUGAAAUGCGCAGAUAUCAGGAGGAACACCGGUGGCGAAGGCGGGUCUCUGGGCCGUAACUGACGCUGAGGAGCGAAAGCAUGGGGAGCGAACAGG